UGGGGAAUCUUGCACAAUGGGGGAAACCCUGAUGCAGCGACGCCGCGUGAGCGAAGAAGCCUUUCGGGGUGUAAAGCUCUUACGCCAGGGACGAUAAUGACGGUACCUGGAGAAGCAGCUGCGGCUAACUACGUGCCAGCAGCCGCGGUAAUACGUAGGCAGCAAGCGUUGUUCGGAAUUACUGGGCGUAAAGGGUGCGUAGGCGGCGCUUUAAGUUUGGUGUGAAAUCUCCCGGCUCAACCGGGAGGGUGCACUGAAAACUGGGGCGCUCGAGUAUGGGAGAGGAAAGCGGAAUUCCUGGUGUAGCGGUGAAAUGCGUAGAGAUCAGGAGGAACACCCGCGGUGUAGACGGCUUUCUGGACCAUGACUGACGCUGAGGCACGAAAGCGUGGGGAGCAAAC
rnacentral:rRNA from 1 species